UGGGGAAUUUUGGACAAUGGGCGAAAGCCUGAUCCAGCCAUGCCGCGUGAGAGAAGAAGGCCUUCGGGUUGUAAAGCUCUUUUAGUCGGAAAGAAAGAGUUGCAAUGAAUAAUUGUGAUUUAUGACGGUACCGACAGAAAAAGCACCGGCUAACUACGUGCCAGCAGCCGCGGUAAUACGUAGGGUGCGAGCGUUAAUCGGAAUUACUGGGCGUAAAGGGUGCGCAGGCGGUCUUGCAAGUCAGAUGUGAAAGCCCCGGGCUUAACCUGGGAAUUGCGUUUGAAACUACAAGACUAGAGUGCAGCAGAGGGGAGUGGAAUUCCAUGUGUAGCAGUGAAAUGCGUAGAGAUGUGGAAGAACACCGAUGGCGAAGGCAGCUCCCUGGGUUGACACUGACGCUCAUGCACGAAAGCGUGGGGAGCAAACA
rnacentral:rRNA from 1 species